GACGAGCGCUGGCGGCGUGCUUAACACAUGCGAGUCGAACGGUGAAGCGCCUUCCUUUUUGGUGGGUGUGGAUGAGUGGCGAACGGGUGAGUAACACGUGAGUAACCUGCCCCCUUCUUCUGGAUAACCGCAUGAAAGUGUGGCUAAUACGGGAUAUUCUGGGUCUGUCGCAUGAUGGGUCUGGGAAAGAUAUUGUUUCGGUGGGGGAUGGGCUCGCGGCCUAUCAGCUUGUUGGUGGGGUGAUGGCCUACCAAGGCGGUGACGGGUAGCCGGCCUGAGAGGGUGGACGGGCACAAUGGGACUGAGACACGGCCCAGACUCCUACGGGAGGCAGCAGUGGGGAAUAUUGCACAAUGGGCGCAAGCCUGAUGCAGCGACGCCGCGUGAGGGAUGGAGGCCUUCGGGUUGUGAACCUCUUUCGCCAGUGAAGCAGGCCUGCCUCGUUUGUGGGUGGGUUGACGGUAGCUGGAUAAGAAGCGCCGGCUAACUACGUG
rnacentral:rRNA from 1 species